GACGAACCGUGCGAACGUUGUUCGGAAUCACUGGGCUUAAAGGGCGCGUAGGCGGGCUACCAAGUCUGUGGUGAAAUCCCCCGGCUCAACCGGGGACGGCCGUGGAUACUGGGAGCCUCGAGGGAGAUAGGGGCAGGCGGAACUGAUGGUGGAGCGGUGAAAUGCGUUGAUAUCAUCAGGAACUCCGGUGGCGAAGGCGGCCUGCUGGAUCUCAUCUGACGCUGAGGAGCGAAAGCCAGGGGAGCAAACGGG
rnacentral:rRNA from 1 species